GAGAAUUCUGAGAGAUGGUGGCAAAAUCCAGAACCAUAUUUUCUGGUAACCAUUCAUUAACAUCAAAUAAAAUUAAGAAUUAAGUUCCUCAGUUGCACUAGCCACAUGCCAAGGGUUCAAUAACUAUGUGUGGCUUCUGGCUACCAUAUUGGUCAACACAGACUUAUAGAGCUUUUCUAUUCUUAUAGAAAGUUCUAUUAAAGAGAGCUAUUCUGGACAGAGGAAAAAAAUCAAUGGCUGGUCUAUGGAGAUGAGAUAGAUGGGGGAGACAAGGAAGUCAUCGGUGCCAGCAGGAGGACCAAUAUCCAAAAUGCAAUUGCUUCUAAAGAAUCCAGCUUCAAAUUGACAUGAGGACUGCAGAAUAAGUGGAAGAAUGCCCAAGAACUGAAUGGGAUAAUUUACUUCAAUGAGAUUAUACAUAUAUGGUUACAUGCCGACCAUGAUGGUGCCUGUAAUUAGCCUCAAAUCUCCUAUCAAUGCUUGUUAUUGACCAAACCCACAGAAUGCUGAAGGCAGGAGGCCAGGUGGAGAAGAGAGGAGAGGUUAAUCUCCAAGGAUUUAGUAAGUCAGGAAAGGGUGGAGGAUGGAUCUGGAGGGACAAAUGGAGGCCACCCAGCAGAGCAUCUUACCUUAACAUUGUCUUUAAACAUCAGUUAAAUAACAGGAAUGAGCUCUUUAGCUAUAGAAGUUAAGAGCAUGCUUUUCUGCAUUUACAUAAACUUACAAAGCCAAUCAUGUAUAAUUUGUAAAAUGGAAUUGCUUCUUGCAUGUUCU
ensembl:lncRNA